rnacentral:misc_RNA from 1 species
AAGUCGUAACAAGGUUUCCGUAGGUGAACCUGCGGAAGGAUCAUUAAAUUCAGUAGCUUGCUACUGUUAGGGGGGUCUAUUAGUCUGUAUAGUAUCACUACUGAUGAGCAGCACGACCCUCUGUCUAUACCCUUGUCUUUUGCGCACUCAUGUUUCCUCGGCGGCUUGAUACCCGCCGGCUGGAUCAAUCUAUAACCUUUUUAAUUUUCAAUCAGCGUCUGAAAAACCUAAUAAUUACAACUUUCAACAACGGAUCUCUUGGUUCUG